rnacentral:lncRNA from 1 species
GCACAAAGUUGACCAGCUUUUAGCACUAUUAAAAGUUGAUAAGCAUAUAUUCAGUCUUGAAAGUUUAGUAACUGGCUAUAAAAUUGAAGAUGAAGAUUAUUUUGAUAUGAACUAUUUAUUAACUAUAAUUUACUUUUCAAUUUAUAAAGCAUAUUACAUGUCUGACAAGAAAGACAAGGUCAUUGAUAUUUUUAAAAUAUUCCAAAAUGAAAUCAGGG